rnacentral:rRNA from 1 species
UACGUAGGGGGCAAGCGUUGUCCGGAAUCAUUGGGCGUAAAGCGCGCGUAGGCGGCCCUGUAAGUCCGCUGUAAAAGUCAAAGGCUCAACCUUUGAAAGCCGGUGGAUACUGCCGGGCUGGAGUCCGGAAGAGGCGAGUGGAAUUCCUGGUGUAGCGGUGAAAUGCGCAGAUAUCAGGAGGAACACCAAUGGCGAAGGCAGCUCGCUGGGACGGUACUGACGCUGAGACGCGAAAGCGUGGGGAGCAAACAGG